AGAGUUUGAUCCUGGCUCAGGAUGAACGCUAGCGACAGGCUUAACACAUGCAAGUCGAGGGGCAGCACAGGUAGCAAUACCGGGUGGCGACCGGCGCACGGGUGAGUAACGCGUAUGCAACUUGCCUAUCAGAGGGGGAUAACCCGGCGAAAGUCGGACUAAUACCGCAUGAAGCAGGGGCCCCGCAUGGGGAUAUUUGCUAAAGAUUCAUCGCUGAUAGAUAGGCAUGCGUUCCAUUAGGCAGUUGGCGGGGUAACGGCCCACCAAACCGACGAUGGAUAGGGGUUCUGAGAGGAAGGUCCCCCACAUUGGUACUGAGACACGGACCAAACUCCUACGGGAGGCAGCAGUGAGGAAUAUUGGUCAAUGGCCGAGAGGCUGAACCAGCCAAGUCGCGUGAGGGAUGAAGGUUCUAUGGAUCGUAAACCUCUUUUAUAAGGGAAUAAAGUGCGGGACGUGUCCCGUUUUGUAUGUACCUUAUGAAUAAGGAUCGGCUAACUCCGUGCCAGCAGCCGCGGUAAUACGGAGGAUCCGAGCGUUAUCCGGAUUUAUUGGGUUUAAAGGGUGCGUAGGCGGCCUUUUAAGUCAGCGGUGAGAGUCUGUGGCUCAACCAUAGAAUUGCCGUUGAAACUGGGGGGCUUGAGUAUGUUUGAGGCAGGCGGAAUGCGUGGUGUAGCGGUGAAAUGCAUAGAUAUCACGCAGAACCCCGAUUGCGAAGGCAGCCUGCCAAGCCAUUACUGACGCUGAUGCACGAAAGCGUGGGGAUCAAACAGGAUUAGAUACCCUGGUAGUCCACGCAGUAAACGAUGAUCACUAGCUGUUUGCGAUACACUGUAAGCGGCACAGCGAAAGCGUUAAGUGAUCCACCUGGGGAGUACGCCGGCAACGGUGAAACUCAAAGGAAUUGACGGGGGCCCGCACAAGCGGAGGAACAUGUGGUUUAAUUCGAUGAUACGCGAGGAACCUUACCCGGGUUUGAACGCAUUCGGACCGAGGUGGAAACACCUUUUCUAGCAAUAGCCGUUUGCGAGGUGCUGCAUGGUUGUCGUCAGCUCGUGCCGUGAGGUGUCGGCUUAAGUGCCAUAACGAGCGCAACCCUUGCCACUAGUUACUAACAGGUAAAGCUGAGGACUCUGGUGGGACUGCCAGCGUAAGCUGCGAGGAAGGCGGGGAUGACGUCAAAUCAGCACGGCCCUUACAUCCGGGGCGACACACGUGUUACAAUGGCGUGGACGAAGGGAGGCCACCUGGCGACAGGGAGCGAAUCCCCAAACCACGUCUCAGUUCGGAUCGGAGUCUGCAACCCGACUCCGUGAAGCUGGAUUCGCUAGUAAUCGCGCAUCAGCCAUGGCGCGGUGAAUACGUUCCCGGGCCUUGCACUCACCGCCCGUCA
rnacentral:rRNA from 1 species